rnacentral:rRNA from 1 species
GUGGGGAAUCUUCCGCAAUGGACGAAAGUCUGACGGAGCGACGCCGCGUGAGUGAUGAAGGCCUUCGGGUCGUAAAGCUCUGUCAUCGGGGACGAACGGCCUCAGCAGGUAAUGGCUGGGGAUUGACGGUACCCGAGAAGGAAGCCACGGCUAACUACGUGCCAGCAGCCGCGGUAAUACGUAGGUGGCAAGCGUUGUCCGGAAUUAUUGGGCGUAAAGCGCGCGCAGGUGGGAUCUUAAGUCCAUUUUGAAAGUUCGGAGCUCAACUCCGUGAUGGGAUGGAAGCUGGGAUUCUUGAGUACCGGAGAGGAAAGCGGAAUUCCCCGUGUAGCGGUGAAAUGCGUAGAUAUGGGGAGGAACACCAGUGGCGAAGGCGGCUUUCUGGACGGUGUCUGACACUGAGGCGCGAAAGCCAGGGGAGCGAACGGGAUUAGAAACCCCUGUAGUCC